ACCUACGGGGGGCAGCAGUAGGGAAUUUUCGUCAAUGGGCGCAAGCCUGAACGAGCAAUGCCGCGUGAACGAGGAAGGUCUUCGGAUCGUAAAGUUCUGUUGAAGGGGAAAAAGAGCGGAGAGAGGAAAUGGUCUCCGAUUGAUAUUACCCUUCGAGGAAGUCACGGCUAACUACGUGCCAGCAGCCGCGGUAAUACGUAGGUGGCGAGCGUUAUCCGGAAUGAUUGGGCGCAAAGGGUGCGUAGGCGGCCUGCUAAGUCUGGAGUGAAAGGUACCGGCUCAACCGGUACAGGCUCUGGAAACUG
rnacentral:rRNA from 1 species